UUCAGAUCCGACCCCGCCGCCCGCGCCCGCGCGCCACCCGCUCCUCCUCGCCUCCUGGAGGACGUCCGCCGCUCUUCCUCCGCCCGUCCCGGAGGCCUCAGUCGGCGCCCUCCGCCGUAGGGCCGCCGCGCUCAUCCCGCCCUCGGCGCCGCACCUCCUUUUCCUCAUGGCCUCGCACCUCCCCGAUCCGGGUUCCUCGCACGCUCACCGCUUCGCCUCCGUCUCCCACCACGCCGCACGCCCCACGCCAGAAAAGGGAAGGCGAGCCACCUUCGCCCUCCCCUCGCCCCCGCGCUGGUCCCGUUGCCGAGCCCAGUUCCCCUCACUUCUCCGUCCAGGCGCCGUCGCCAUCAAUCGAUCUCCCGAGCAAGCGACCUUCCUCCCCGAUCUACUCGUUGGUUAUGGCGGACGAGCCGGAGGAGCGAGGGGAGGGGGAGCAUGGACGCCAACUGGCGCCCCACCCAAGACUCAGGUCCCGCCACCGCGACCGUCGGAGGCGGGGUUGACCCGAACGCACCGGCGCCCCAUCGCCGGAGGCCACUGGCGCUCCGGGCUCCAGCCCGACGCCCGCGCUAGGAUCGUCAGUAAGAUAUAAGCGGCGACCUCAAUCUUUGAUUUGAUCCUUCAUCCCCUUGAUUUAUUGGAGCACUCCUUCCAGAUCCAGUCGCACUCCUCAUUCAGCUCCAUGUCUCCUGGUGCGGCGGCACAGUGAGAGGAUGUGAACGCGCGGCCGCCCAAGGGUGGUGGUGGUGGUGAUCUGCCUGCUCGUCCCUCGUCCUCAUCACCGGCCUCUCCGAGGUCGCUGCUGGGGCAAUCUCCAUGGGCCCUUGAGGAUGGAGUAGGAGGAUGAGCAGCAGCAAAUGAGCCUGAUGGUGAAGAAGCACCUGAUGACAAGAACUCGUUCAAGAGCUCUUUUGUCCUUCCAAAACAGGGUCUUGAUGUCCCCCUUACAGAAAAAUGUUCAUACAUGUUCCUGCAUGAUGCGUGUGUGCAUGUUGGAUGGUCACAUUCUAGUGUACUAGCUAGCUAGUAAGCUUGUUUUGCUACCAGAUGAUUGAAUGUCAUCUCAUUUUUUACCUCAUGUAGCUCACCGCCUAAUUUGUAGGUAAAGAUACCGUUGGCAUAUAUUAUCAACAGCAUUUUUUCAUAAACAAAAUAUAAAAUGUUGAUUUAGGUCCA